UGUGUACUCCCUCCGUUCCAAAAUACUUGACUUCCAUUUGUCCAAAAAUGGAUCUACCUAUAUACUAAGACAUGUCUAGAUACAUAUAUAUUUUCACAAAUAGAAGGCAUGUAUUGUGCAACGGAGGGAGUAGAAU
rfam:Triticum aestivum genome assembly, contig: Triticum_aestivum_CS42_TGACv1_scaffold_558896_7AL